GAUGAACGCUAGCGGCAGGCCUAAUACAUGCAAGUCGAACGAGAUUAAGAGGCUUGCUUCUUAUGAAAGUGGCGCACGGGUGCGUAACGCGUAUGCAACCUACCUUAAUCAGGGGGAUAGCCCGAAGAAAUUUGGAUUAAGACCGCAUAAAAACACAGGAUAGCAUUAUCCAAUGUUCAAAUAUUUAUAGGAUUAAGAUGGGCAUGCGUGUCAUUAGCUAGUUGGCGGGGUAACGGCCCACCAAGGCGACGAUGACUAGGGGAUCUGAGAGGAUGACCCCCCACACUGGUACUGAGACACGGACCAGACUCCUACGGGAGGCAGCAGUAAGGAAUAUUGGUCAAUGGAGGGAACUCUGAACCAGCCAUGCCGCGUGCAGGAAGACAGCCCUCUGGGGCGUAAACUGCUUUUAUUCGGGAAUAAACCUUUCUACGUGUAGGAAGCUGAAUGUACCGAAGGAAUAAGGAUCGGCUAACUCCGU
rnacentral:rRNA from 1 species